rnacentral:lncRNA from 1 species
UGGGCAAUGGGAGAGAAUGGGGGGCGGGGCCCAGGCGGCGGCGCCACGUUCAUUGACAAACGCGCUGGACUAAGGCCUAGUGGAUCGCGGCUGUGGGGAGGGGAAAGGGGCCCACGCAGUGCCUGGAGAGUCCCGCUGCGGGUCCCACGCGGGCUGGACCUCCCCACAGCGAUGCUGGGAUCCUGGGACGCUCUCAAGGCUUGAGAGCAGUCGAUUGAAGGGGGAAGUUCCUGUCCCUAUGUAGACAAAAUGGAUGGAUUUGUAGCAGAACUCUCUUGCUACACAAGGGAUCUUUGACUAGCGAGUCCGCUUCUUUGUGGGUUUUAAGGCUCUGAGACAACAAUCAAAGAAACUGGACCUUGAAAAGGAAGCGUGUGACAGUCAUUCUUCACCCAAGAAGCUAUAGUUCUGUGAGCCAUCUGGGCCCUGGCUCAAGAACGACGCUGAGGAUUCCCUUGCCCCAGCAACUCAUGGGAGUGGUCCGAAGACUCAAUUUCUAUUUCAUGAGUGAUGAUCCGCUAAUAUUAAACAUAAAUCCACAAAACAAGGGCUUUGAGAUGCCUGCUCCAGGACUGGGCUUGUAAGGAAGAGUACAGGCUGAUCAUGAGAGGAUUCCUGGGUUAUCCUCUUGUUUUAUUCUCUGCCUCGGUUUCCCUUCCUCUGCCUUCUCUCUACGCAUGCUCUACUUCUCAAACUCCUACACUGGGGUCGACUCUUGGGCCCACCUUCUGUCCCUGUUCCACACCCAGCUGUCCCUGACCAGUAGACAAGUUUCCGGCGCUGACACCCGUCCCCACCCCCCACCAGGGCACAGCUGCGGAAAACGGCCCCAGGCGGGACUCUGGGGACCCAGGAGGCUGCAGUGCGCGCCGGGGUGGAGUGGCGGCGUUAUCUCUUCUUUGUCUGGAACCCCGCCUGUCCGGAUCUUCCCCUUUCACCCCCGGCCUUGGAGCAGGAAGAUCGCAACAGCAGAGAGGGACUGGGAUGGAAUAGACUUCCUGCACUGGCUUCACCCGAUGGCGCCCAGUGGGUCGGAAAUAACCAGAAUUCAGAUCCUCGGCCCAGACUCAACAUGGCGGCUUGCACACCUACUGGAGAGGCGGGAGUGCGGGACGCCCUGAGGGAUGCAGCCAGUGACACCCCCACCCCCAGCCUCUCUUGCUGAGCUCAGGCCUACAAACCCAGGUUCUCUAGAUUCUUAGAGCUAAAAGGGCCUCGAAGCUAUGCUUUCUCCAUUUCACGGGUGCAGAACCCGAGGCCCAGAGGCAGGAUACGACUUGUCCAAAGUCACACAGCAAGUCUGGGGUAGAAGAAAGGCUGCGGGCUGGAAACCUUUCUCAAAAGCGCCUCUCCAGAGCCGCUCUCGGGAUGGUGGGGGAGGGGCGAUGCUGCCAAAUCGAAGAACUCGGCUGGAAUAUGCCCGCACACGCAGGUUUUCCUUCGGAUACCCGUGAGGCUUGCAUAGAAUCCCCGGGGCACGGCCCGAGCAGGAGUAGCGCCGAUUCUCCCUUUCACACAGUAGGUGUUCGGCUUCGGGACAGUGUUCUGCUGCGUGGCACACACAGGACCCGUCUUACCUGUGCACCCAGAGCAGCCCCUUCCCGCAACUCUCGGCGUUCUUGGGGGAAGGAGUUUCCCUCUGGAUAGGGGUGAUUCAUCACCGCCCGAGCGGGCGGCCUCUGGGAAGUUCCAACCCCAAAAGGCGCGACCGGACCUCAUACCGUGACCACCUAGCCCAGCCUUACAGGUCACCAAACGACAGCCCAGAGAGGUUACGUGACUAGCUCGAGGCUGCACAGCAAGUCCAUGGUGGAGCCGGGCUACUGCGCCUCAGUCCUGUCUCUGAACGCCCACGAGCCGCAGCCUGGGUCCAGGAGAGCGAGACUAGCAGCUCUCACCGCGGCUCUCAACGCAGUCGGGCCUCACUCUGAUCUACAGUGAUGCGCUUUCUUUCUCCCAGUAACAGGGCUUUGGGCCGGGCCCUGUGCUAGGCGCUGGGGGCAGGAGACCGCGAAAGGAAACUAUCCAGGAAGAAACUCAAUUUAUGUGAACCGAAUUGCCUUUGAAAGUUUUAGUACUGAAAGACAGCCCAUUGAGAAUAAUGUGUGAGAAGCCAGAGACCUCGUUUCACUGGGGACACACCCCCUCCCGGCUUCCCUUUCCACGCCUCCCAGCGCACUGCAUUACCGUGGCUUCAGGAUGUGGGGGCUGCUACAGUGUUCUAGUAGCCUGACAUCGACUCUCUCAACCCAAGUCCAGCCCAUUUCCCUGUUCUUGCUUCUGACAAAGUGAGGCCCAAUAGGGCUCAGACUGGUUGCUCAGUUCUGGAAAGAUCAGGGAUGCUGCCAGCAUGGCUGUCUCAACCCACUGAGUUCUGUCUAAACUUCAUUUUUAAAAAAUAAAAAAAAUUAAGUAUCAGAGGGAAAGAAAUUGACCUGAAAUUAUACAGCAAGUGGAGGCACAGCAGAUUCCUGCAUGAUUCCUGCCCCUGGAUCAGGAGUCUGCUCUACUUGACCUGUCCCUGUUUUCAGGAGUUCUUGAAGAGGAUGGAGAAAAAAUGAGAAUUUAACCAGGUUUUUCAAGAAUCAUGUAAAAUCACCUUAGUCGGGGUGUGUUAUCAUUACCAGCAUGUCCUGCAGGCCAGGGGCGCUGGGACUACUCUCUCUCCCAAAGACUUGAGACAGGCAGCCCCUUCUAAAGCCUCUGCUUCCCCGUUUGUUUAAUACAGAGAACAAAUCCUG